rnacentral:rRNA from 1 species
GACGAACGCUGGCGGCGUGCUUAACACAUGCAAGUCGAACGGAAAGGCCCUGCUUUUGUGGUGUGCUCGAGUGGCGAACGAGUGGGUAACACGUGCGUAACCUACCCUUGACUUUGGGAUAACUUCAGGAAACUGGGGCCAAUUCCGGAUGCGAGCGCCUGCUUCAUGGCGUGGGGUGGAGAGUUUCGGCGGCUGCGGCUGGUCACGCGGCUUUUCAGCUUGUUGGUGGGGUAGUGGCUUACCAAGGCGUGGACGGGUAGCCGGCCUGAGAGGGUGACUGGCCACAUUGGGACUGAGAUACGGCCCAGACUCCUACGGGAGGCAGCAGUGGGGAAUAGUGCAAAAUGGGCGGAAGCCUGAUGCAGCAACGCCGCGUGCGGGAUGACGGUCUUCGGGUUGGAAACCGCUUUCGGCGGUGACGAAGCGUGAGUGACGGUAAUGGGUAAAGAAGCAACGGCUAACUACGUG